rnacentral:tRNA from 1 species
GGGCCCGUAAGUUCAACUGGUAGAACAGCUGGCUUCGGACCAGUAAAAAUCUCUGGGAGGAGACGUGCGGGUUCAAAUCCCGCCGGGUCCA